CCUACGGGAGGCAGCAGUGGGGAAUUUUGGACAAUGGGCGCAAGCCUGAUCCAGCAAUGCCGCGUGAGUGAAGAAGGCCUUCGGGUUGUAAAGCUCUUUUGUCAGGGAAGAAACGGUGGGAGCUAAUAUCUCCUACUAAUGACGGUACCUGAAGAAUAAGCACCGGCUAACUACGUGCCAGCAGCCGCGGUAAUACGUAGGGUGCAAGCGUUAAUCGGAAUUACUGGGCGUAAAGCGUGCGCAGGCGGUUUUGUAAGUCUGUCGUGAAAGCCCCGGGCUCAACCUGGGAAUUGCGAUGGAGACUGCAAGGCUUGAAUCUGGCAGAGGGGGGUAGAAUUCCACGUGUAGCAGUGAAAUGCGUAGAGAUGUGGAGGAACACCGAUGGCGAAGGCAGCCCCCUGGGUCAAGAUUGACGCUCAUGCACGAAAGCGUGGGGAGCAAACAGGAUUAGAUACCCUGGUAGUCCACGCCCUAAACGAUGUCUACUAGUUGUCGGGUUUUAAUUAACUUGGUAACGCAGCUAACGCGUGAAGUAGACCGCCUGGGGAGUACGGUCGCAAGAUUAAAACUCAAAGGAAUUGACGGCNGAGAGNGCGACGACGACGACGAGGGAGGAGG
rnacentral:rRNA from 1 species